GAAAUGCGAUAAGUAAUGUGAAUUGCAGAAUUCAGUGAAUCAUCGAAUCUUUGAACGCACAUUGCGCCCGCCAGUAUUCUGGCGGGCAUGCCUGUUCGAGCGUCAUUUCAACCAUCAAGCCCCCGGCUUGUGUUGGGGACCUGCGGCUGCCCGCAGGCCCUGAAAACCAGGCGGGCUCGCUGUCACACCGAGCGUAGUAGCAUACAUCUCGCUCAGGGCGUGCUGCGGGUUCCGGCCGUUAAAAGCCUUUUUUACCCAAGGUUGACCUCGGAUCAGGUAGGAAGACCCGCUGAACUUAAGC
rnacentral:misc_RNA from 1 species